AUUGAACGCUGGCGGCAUGCUUUACACAUGCAAGUCGAACGGCAGCGCGGGCUUCGGCCUGGCGGCGAGUGGCGAACGGGUGAGUAAUACAUCGGAACGUGCCCAGUAGUGGGGGAUAGCUCGGCGAAAGCCGGAUUAAUACCGCCUACGACCUGAGGGUGAAAGCGGGGGAUCUUCGGACCUCGCGCUAUUGGAGCGGCCGAUGGCAGAUUAGCUAGUUGGUGGGGUAAAGGCCUACCAAGCCGACGAUCGGUAGCUGGUCUGAGAGGACGACCAGCCACACUAGGACUGGAACACGGCCCAGACUACUAAGGGAGGCCGCAGUGGGGAAUUUUGGACAAUGGGCGAAAGCCUGAUCCAGCGAUGCCGCGUGUGUGAUAAAGGCCUUCGGGUUGGAAAGCACUUUUGGCGGGAACGAAAAGGACUGUGCCAAUACCACGGUUCGAUGACGGUACCCGCAGAAUAAGCACCGGCUAACUACGUG
rnacentral:rRNA from 1 species